UACGAAGGGGACUAGCGUUGUUCGGAAUUACUGGGCGUAAAGCGCACGUAGGCGGAUUUGUAAGUCAGGGGUGAAAUCCCGGGGCCACACCGAUCGUAGUCUCUUGAUACUGCAAAUCUCGAGUCCGAUAGAGGUGGGUGGAAUUCCUAGUGUAGAGGUGAAAUUCGUAGAUAUUAGGAAGAACACCGGUGGCGAAGGCGGCCCACUGGAUCGGUACUGACGCUGAGGUGCGAAAGCGUGGGGAGCAAACAGG
rnacentral:rRNA from 1 species